GAAAGCCUUCGGCUUAACCGAAGAAGUGCAUCGGAAACCGGGCGACUUGAGUGCAGAAGAGGACAGUGGAACUCCAUGUGUAGCGGUGGAAUGCGUAGAUAUAUGGAAGAACACCAGUGGCGAAGGCGGCUGUCUGGUCUGCAACUGACGCUGAGGCUCGAAAGCAUGGGUAGCGAACAGGAUUAGAUACCCUGGUAGUCCAUGCCGUAAACGAUGAGUGCUAGGUGUUGGAGGGUUUCCGCCCUUCAGUGCCGGAGCUAACGCAUUAAGCACUCCGCCUGGGGAGUACGACCGCAAGGUUGAAACUCAAAGGAAUUGACGGGGGCCCGCACAAGCGGUGGAGCAUGUGGUUUAAUUCGAAGCUACGCGAAGAACCUUACCAGGUCUUGACAUCUUGCGCUAACCUUAGAGAUAAGGCGUUCCCUUCGGGGACGCAAUGACAGGUGGUGCAUGGUCGUCGUCAGCUCGUGUCGUGAGAUGUUGGGUUAAGUCCCGCAACGAGCGCAACCCUUUGUUACUAGUUGCC
rnacentral:rRNA from 2 species